GCCUGGGAAAAACAAAACAAAACAAAACAAAACAAAAGAUGGUUUGGGCCCUUCUUGCUGAAUAAGUCCAGACCACCCUGGGCCAACAUUUAACUGGGCUCUGGGCUACCCCCGACCCCACCCGGACUCCCAGAAUCCUCACACCCAUCCCUCAGCCAUUGUGGUUCUGGGCAGAGCCAGGUGGUGGCGCCAGCGCCUUAGGCUUCAGUCUGGCUUUGGGAGCUAGAGACCCCGGAAGAAUUGUCCCCCUCCCCUGCGCCUUCUUCCCCGCUGGGAGCCUCUGCUCCAAGGCCUGUCCGCUGGCAAAGGCUUUGCAGGAUGGCCUUCAUCAGGGAGAGGGGCGCUGAGGCUGGCACACCCAAGAUGAGGAAACUGAGGCAUGGCCAGUGUAAGUUGCUUGCCCGAGCCCAAGCAGAAUUGGCGUUUGAAACUGGUCUGCCUGCCGCUAUCCGGCCAGUCCUGGCGGUUCUGGAAUGGCUGUUGCUGUUGCUAUUUAAGUUUCUCCCUGAGCUCCUUGCCCGCCACACUCCCCCCGACCCCACCAGGAAAGGUAUCUGGGUAUCGGUAGCACCAUCUGUGAAAUGGGAUCACUGACGGGCGGAGUCACCACCAGCUCCCGGAGCCAUGCCAGGCUCUGUGCUCAAUACCUUCCAAGUAUUUAUUAGUAGUAGAUCAUUCCUCUGGGUGGCUGCGGGUCAGCCUGGGCUAGAAUCCUGGCUUUGCUGUUCUUGGCAUCCUGGCUUUGGGCAAGUGACUUUACAUCUCAGUGUCACGGUCCAAAACUGGAAAAUGGACGUGAGAACAA